CUGAAGAAAAAGCAUCGGCUAACUCCGUGCCAGCAGCCGCGGUAAUACGGAGGAUGCAAGCGUUAUCCGGAAUCAUUGGGCGUAAAGGGUCCGCAGGUGGCGAAUAAAGUCUGCUGUUAAAGACCGGGGCUUAACUCCGGAAAGGCAGUGGAAACUGAUUAGCUAGAGUACGGUAGGGGUAGAGGGAAUUCCCAGUGUAGCGGUGAAAUGCGUAGAUAUUGGGAAGAACACCGGUGGCGAAAGCGCUCUACUAGGCCGAAACUGACACUGAGGGACGAAAGCUAGGGUAGCGAAAGGGAUUAGAUACCCCUGUAGUCUUAGCGGUAAACGAUGGAUACUAGGUGUAGCUUGUAUCGACCCAAGCUGUGCCGAAGCUAACGCGAUAAGUAUCCCGCCUGGGGAGUACGCACGCAAGUGUGAAACUCAAAGGAAUUGACGGGGGCCCGCACAAGCGGUGGGGUAUGUGGUUUAAUUCGAUGCAACGCGAAGAACCUUACCAGGGCUUGACAUGUCGCGAAUCUAGCGGAAACGUUAGAGUGCCUUAGGGAAUGCGAACACAGGUGGUGCAUGGCUGUCGUCAGCUCGUGUCGUGAGAUGUUGGGUUAAGUCCCGCAACGAGCGCAACCCUCGUCCUUAGUUGCCAAUAUUAAGUUAGGCACUCUAGGGAGACUGCCGGGGACAACUCGGAGGAAGGUGGGGAUGACGUCAAGUCAGCAUGCCCCUUACGUCCUGGGCGACACACGUACUACAAUGGUUGGGACAAAGGGCAGCAAGCUCGCGAGAGUAAGCGAAUCUCAUCAAACCCAGCCACAGUUCAGAUUGCAGGCUGCAACUCGCCUGCAUGAAGUAGGAAUCGCUAGUAAUCGCAGGUCAGCAUACUGCGGUGAAUUCGUUCCCGGGCCUUGUACACACCGCCCGUCACACCAUGGAGGCUGGCUACGCCCGAAGUCGUUACCCUAACCCGGUUUUGGGAGGGGGAUGCCGAAGGUAGAGCUAGUGACUGGGGUGAAGUCGUAACAAGGUAGCCGUACCGGAAGGUGUGGCUGGAUCACCUCCUUUACAGGGAGACCUAGUCUAAUUACCAAUAGAUGAAAAAGUUGGUAAUUCGCAAGAAUCCUUAGGUCGUGAAGGGAGCAAGAAAAAACUUUCAAACUGUAAUGGGUGAGGGUACUCGGGCUAUUAGCUCGGGUGGUUAGAGCGCACCCCUGAUAAGGGUGAGGUCCCUGGUUCAAGUCCAGGAUGGCCCACCUGAAAUACACAGGCAGGAUGCCACAAAAAAAGGAAAAAAUUUUAGCAUUGUCUCUUGUAAUCAAGAGCAAGAGAUAAUGCUGGAAUCUAUUCC
rnacentral:misc_RNA from 1 species